rnacentral:rRNA from 1 species
CAGGAUGAACGCUAGCGGCAGGCUUAACACAUGCAAGUCGAGGGGCAUCGCGGGUGGCAACACCUGGCGGCGACCGGCGAACGGGUGAGUAACGCGUGAGCAACAUGUCCUCAGUCGGGGGAUAAGCGAGGGAAACUUCGUCUAAUACCCCAUAACACUUUCAGGCGCAUGCCUUUAAGUUGAAAGCUUUUUUUGCGACUUUGGUUUGGCUCGCGUGACAUUAGCUAGUCGGUGGGGUAACGGCUCACCGAGGCUACGAUGUCUAGGGGUUCUGAGAGGAAGGCCCCCCACAUUGGGACUGGGACACGGCCCAAACUCCUACGGGAGGCAGCAGUGAGGAAUAUUGGUCAAUGGACGGAAGUCUGAACCAGCCAUGCCGCGUGAAGGAAGACUGCCCUAUGGGUCGUAAACUUCUUUUGCAGCAGAGCAAUAAGGCGUACGCGUACGCCGAUGAGAGUAUGUUGCGAAUAAGCAUCGGCUAACUCCGUGCCAGCAGCCGCGGUAAUACGGAGGAUGCGAGCGUUAUCCGGAUUUAUUGGGUUUAAAGGGUGCGUAGGCUGUUUUGUAAGUCAGCGGUGAAAGACCGGGGCCCAACUCCGGAAGUGCCGUUGAUA